rnacentral:siRNA from 1 species
UUCUAAGUCCAACAUAGC